rnacentral:lncRNA from 1 species
UAUAAAACGCUUUAGAAUUUGAAUACACGUUCAAUGCAUAUACUACUUCUAAAACUGUUGAUCCACCUAUUUUAGACUAUAUAAUCGAAAUAGAGACUUAUUGAUUUCGAUAGUUGUUGUUUAUUUUACAAGAAUCGAAUUUCGAUUUCCAUUCUACUUUAGAAUAGGAAUCACUGAAACCAUUUAUGGCUUAAUCCGGUUUUGAAUUCUGGAUUGGCACGUUCUAGAGUAAACCACUCAAAACUCUCUCUCACAAUACCUCUUCCUCCUCUUCCUUCGUCACUAUACUCUCUUUUAACCAAAAUUCUCUCUCGAAAUCUUGGUAAUUAUUGGACAUUAUCUUCAAAGGAGGGGCAGUGGACGUAUCCAAAUGGCUUAUUUCAACUGCUU